rnacentral:rRNA from 1 species
GAUGAACGCUGGCGGCGUGCCUAAUACAUGCAAGUCGAGCGAACGGACGUGAAGCUUGCUCCUCUUAUGUUAGCGGCGGACGGGUGAGUAACACGUGGAUAACCUACCUUUAAGACUGGGAUAACUUCGGGAAACCGGUGCUAAUACCGCAUGAUAUUUUUAACCGCAUGGUUCAAGAGUGAAAGACGCUAUUGCUGUCAUCAAUAGAUGGAUCCCCGCUGCAUUAGCUAGUUGGUAAGGUAACGGCCUCCCAAGGCAACGAACAAUAGCCGACCUGAGAGGGUGAUCGGCCACACUGGAACUGAGCCACGGUCCAGACUCCUACGGGAGGCAGCAGUAGGGAAUCUUCGGCAAUGGGCGAAGGCCUGACGAAGAACCGCCGCGUGGGUGAUGAAGGUCUUCGGAUCGUAAAACCCUGUUAUUGGGAAAGAACAGAUGUAUAAGUAACUGUGCACAUCUUGACGGUACCUAAUCAGAAAGCCACGGCUAACUACGUG